rnacentral:lncRNA from 1 species
GUGAGUCUAAGUCGGGUAGAGAAUACAUGAAUUGGUUUUUAUCAAUUCCUUUUAUGCACGUUGCUCCAACACAGUUUUUGAAUGAUCCCCGUCAACGUGUAGCUUCUUCAAUCCAACAAACAACAUCACCCCCACAACAACAUAACCAACCAUCAUCCUCAGCUCAACAAACUUACCAACACACCCAGACCACACAACA